UUAUACCGUGAAACUGCGAAUGGCUCAUUAAAUCAGUUAUCGUUUAUUUGAUAGUACCUUACUACUUGGAUAACCGUGGUAAUUCUAGAGCUAAUACAUGCUGAAAACCCCAACUUCGGGAGGGGUGUAUUUAUUAGAUAAAAAACCAACGCCCUUCGGGGCUUCUUGGUGAUUCAUGAUAACUUUACGGAUCGCAUGGCCUUGCGCCGGCGACGGUUCAUUCAAAUUUCUGCCCUAUCAACUUUCGAUGGUAAGGUAUUGGCUUACCAUGGUUUCAACGGGUAACGGGGAAUUAGGGUUCGAUUCCGGAGAGGGAGCCUGAGAAACGGCUACCACAUCCAAGGAAGGCAGCAGGCGCGCAAAUUACCCAAUCCCGACACGGGGAGGUAGUGACAAUAAAUACUGAUACAGGGCUCUUUUGGGUCUUGUAAUUGGAAUGAGUACAAUUUAAACCUCUUAACGAGGAACAAUUGGAGGGCAAGUCUGGUGCCAGCAGCCGCGGUAAUUCCAGCUCCAAUAGCGUAUAUUAAAGUUGUUGCAGUUAAAAAGCUCGUAGUUGAACCUUGGGUCUGGCUGGCAGGUCCGCCUCACCGCGUGUACUUGUCCGGCCGGGCCUUCCUUCUGGAGAACCUCAUGCCCUUCACUGGGCGUGUUGGGGACCAGGACUUUUACUUUGAAAAAAUUAGAGUGUUCAAAGCAGGCCUUUGCUCGAAUACGUUAGCAUGGAAUAAUAGAAUAGGACGUGCGGUCCUAUUUUGUUGUUUUCUAGGACCGCCGUAAUGAUUAAUAGGGACAGUCGGGGGCAUCAGUAUUCAAUUGUCAGAGGUGAAAUUCUUGGAUUUAUUGAAGACUAACUACUGCGAAAGCAUUUGCCAAGGAUGUUUUCAUUAAUCAGUGAACGAAAGUUAGGGGAUCGAAGACGAUCAGAUACCGUCGUAGUCUUAACCGUAAACUAUGCCGACUAGGGAUCGGGCGAUGUUCUUUUUCUGACUCGCUCGGCACCUUACGAGAAAUCAAAGGUU
rnacentral:rRNA from 1 species